rnacentral:rRNA from 1 species
CCUACGGGAGGCAGCAGUGAGGAAUAUUGGUCAAUGGUCGGGAGACUGAACCAGCCAAGCCGCGUGAGGGAUGAAGGUACAGCGUAUCGUAAACCUCUUUUGUCAGGGAACAAAGGCGGGGACGUGUCCCCGGAUGAGUGUACCUGAAGAAAAAGCAUCGGCUAACUCCGUGCCAGCAGCCGCGGUAAUACGGAGGAUGCGAGCGUUAUCCGGAUUUAUUGGGUUAAAAGGGGGCGCAGGCGGUCGGUAAAGUCAGCGGUAAAAGCUCGGGGCUCACCCCCAGCCCGCCGUUGAAACUGGCAGUCUCGAGUUGGAGAGAAGUAUGCGGAAUGCGCGGUGUAGCGGUGAAAUGCAUAGAUAUCGCGCAGAACUCCGAUUGCGAAGGCAGCAUGCCGGCUCCACACUGACGCUGAGGCACGAAAGCGUGGGUAUCGAACAGGAUUAGAUACCCUUGUAGUC